rnacentral:rRNA from 1 species
CGAGACUAACUAGGAGGGCCUUAGUAACGGCGAGUGAAGCGGCCUGAGCCCAAGUUCGAAUCCACGCCCUUCGGGUGUUGGAAUUGUAAUCUUAAGCUGGUUACCGACCUACCGGCCUAGGCAUAAUCCCCUGGAAGGGGGUCCCAUAGAGGGUGAUAGGCCCGUCCAUGGCCUGGGCUGGUAUUAGGUUUCUAGUGUCGAGUCGCGUUGUUCAGUAUUGCAGCGCUAAGUGGGAGAUAAACUUCUUCUAAGGCUAACUACUUACGGGAGACCGAUAGCGAACAAGUACUGUGAAGGAAAGGUGAAAAGAACUUUGAAAAGAGAGUUAAAAGACCUGAAACCGUUGUGAUGGAACCGGUGGCAGUUUGUUAUUGGGGUUGGGGCUAUUGCCUCGGGUUGUCUGUUCCUGUGUAGGCCACUUUCAAAGGGGCUUAAGCGUGGUGACGGGUGCCCGGUGUUCUGCCUCUGCCUCAUCGGCAAGAUGGGUGCCGUCCGCUUCACACGCCCUACUCAGCUCGAGGCUUUGCUUCACUGUGUGGGUGCUUGUUGCGGAUGGUGCUGAGGGGCUACGUGCGUUCUUGCCAAAGUGACUGUUACCGACUCGUCUUGAAACACGAACCAAGGAGUCUAACACAUGCGCAAGUGUGUGGGUGGAGAAGCCCGCGCGCGUAAUGAAAGUGAGCGGUGCCAAGCCGUAGGGCAGCAGCAUCGGCCGACCAUGCUCCCUCUGGGGAAAGGUUCGAGUAAGAGCGCAUUUGAUAGGACCCGAAAGAUGGUGAACUAUACCUGAGUAGGGUGAAGUCAGGGGAAACUCUGAUGGAGGCUCGUAGCGAUACUGACGUGCAAAUCGUUCGUCGAACUUGGGUAUAGGGGCGAAAGACUAAUCGAACCAUCUAGUAGCUGGUUCCCUCCGAAGUUUCUCUCAGGAUAGCUAGGACAAUCGCGUAGUUUUAUUAGGUAAAGCGAAUGAUUAGGGGCCUCGGGGAUAUUUUUUCCUCGACCCAUUCUCAAACUUUAAAUUGGUAAGAACUUGGACUUUCUUAAUUGAAGAUCUGGGGAAGAAUACGUGUCCUUAGUGGGCCAUUUUUGGUAAGCAGAACUGGCGAUGAGGGAUGAACCUAACGUCGAGUUAAGGCGCCCAACUACACGCGCAUCAGAUCCCACAAAGGGUGUUGAUGCAUUUAGACAGCAGGACGGUGGCCAUGGAAGUCGGAAUCCGCUAAGGAGUGUGUAACAACUCACCUGCCGAAUGCAUUAGCCCCGAAAAUUGAUGGCGCUCCAGCGUGUGGCCGAUACUCGACCACCGCGGCGAAACUCAUGCCGCGGUGUGUAGGGGGGCGUGGGCGUGGUGUUGAAGCCUAUGGGGUGACCCUAGGUAGAACCGCGUCUAGUGCAGAUCUUGGUGGUAGUAGCAAUUAUUCAAAUGAGAACUUUGAAGGCCGAAGUGGAGAAGGUUUCCGCGGGAACAGCAUUUGGCCGCGGGUGACUCGGUCCUAAGACAUUGGGGAAGUCCUUGUGAGUGCGCUUCUGCGUGUAGUCGAAAGGGCAUGGGGUUAAUAUUCCUCAAGUGGGUGGCGAGUAUUGUACGGUAACGUUUGUGAGCUCAGUGACGCCGGCGCGUGCCUCUGGAAGGGUUCUCUUUUCUUCUUAAGACACUAGCGUCCCUGGAAUCGGUUUACCCGGAGAUAGGGUUGCAAGUGUCGAAGAGCAUUUCGCUUUAUAGAAUGUCAGGUGCGCUCGCGACGGCCCUUGAAAAACUGAGUGAGAGACUUACUUCGCCCCUAUCCGUACCAACAACCGCAUCAGGUCUCCAAGGUU